GACGAACGCUGGCGGCGUGCUUAACACAUGCAAGUCGAACGGAAAGGCCCCUUUGGGGGUACUCGAGUGGCGAACGGGUGAGUAACACGUGAGUAACCUGCCCUUGACUUCGGGAUAACUUCAGGAAACUGGGGCUAAUACCGGAUAGGAAUCCUUGCUGCAUGGUAGGGGUUGGAAAGCUUCGGCGGUUUUGGAUGGACUCGCGGCUUAUCAGCUUGUUGGUGGGGUAGUGGCUUACCAAGGCUUUGACGGGUAGCCGGCCUGAGAGGGCGACCGGCCACAUUGGGACUGAGAUACGGCCCAGACUCCUACGGGAGGCAGCAGUGGGGAAUAUUGCACAAUGGGCGGAAGCCUGAUGCAGCAACGCCGCGUGCGGGAUGACGGCCUUCGGGUUGUAAACCGCUUUCAGCAGGGGCGAAGCUUGUGGUGACGGUACCUGCAGAAGAAGCACCGGCUAACUACGUG
rnacentral:rRNA from 1 species